GAGCCUCGGGGCGGGGAGCCGCGGCGGGCAGUGCCGCUCGACGCUGCGGCCGGGCCGGGGUUGGGCCUGCUGGACCUCUUGUGCCCUGUAAUGGAAGAAAAGUUUGAAAAUGUCAGAGCACGCUGCUUCCCAGCCCGCCGGCGUUUGUUUGGCACCGCCGUUUUCUCCGCAGAGAUCUGAGAACUCGUACCAGCAGUCCUUUGAGAUCAAAUCCUGCAUUGAUUUCAAAAUGCAACAGCGAGAGCACUUGAACUUCAGUCCUAUUCCUUCUGCAGUCACAGUGAUCAUCAAAACCUGAAACUCCAAAGGCCAUGGAAACUUUUCUUCUUGCUGCACAAUCUCUCUGGCUUGUCUUGGGAUGAGAUAAGGGUUCACAACUGAAACAGGGAUUUUAAUAGUUGCCAUGGGAUGCUGCUGAUGCCAGUAGUUUUCAUUAGUCAAAGAACAACAAGACGAAUUCAAAGGAGAAAAGGUUAUUAAAUUUAAAGAUAACAUCUCUGGCUCAGUAAUUUCCUGAGCCAAAGGUUUAUUACAGAGAAGCAUCAUAUAAUCUCUUUGUUCUGAAUCUCCUCCACAGAUUCUGGCACUAGACAAAUUUAAAUUUAAGUAUUUUGUGCUAGAUUGGAGAUUUGCAGGUACAACUGUUCUUAUGAGAUACUUUUCAAUUCACUAUUACUAUUGCAGCUAUGUAAUUGUGUGGAUAUCUUGCAGACUUGUAAUACAGUUCAGCAGGUGAAAAAGAGACUGCUAGUGAAGAGUCAUCUUUGUACAAACUGCACAAAAGUACUCUGUGGAGCACCAACAGUCCACACACCAUAACUAGGAUUUUCAGCACAAGUAAUGAAAGGAUUUAGCAUAUAUGAAGAUUGCUCCAAAAAUAAUGCCCUUAUUUUAUGAUGUUGGUGCUAUGGCAGUAGAAGUUGAACCUUCCCACCAGUAUUCCAUUCCAUUUUGUUGCUAUGUGACAGAUGGCAGCAGAGGGGCACUCUGACAAAAUGGCACCUGACAUAGAGGGAUGAAGCAAACUUGUGUUGAAAAAGAGUGUUUUGUAGCUGAGAACUAGCUCUACCAAACAGUGGUGCUCAGGAUGCUGCAGUUGAAAGUGAAGAAGUAUUGUUUGAGACAGCGUACUUGACAAUAUUCUCAGAAAUCCUUGAUUCUAUCCCACUAUUUCACACCACUGAGAGCAUGAAGACAGUACAUCAUGGAAGUGCAAAUCCUGCACAAGGAAGAUUGUAUUGGUUCAUUAUUUAAAUCUGCAUUUUCCUACAGACUCAACAAGAGCAUGUACUAAGCAAAACCAGUGCAGCCUGCAGGAGCUGAGCAGGACUUAAAAUGAGCUGCCUCUCUCACCAGCCAGAAAUUGAUGUAUUUCAAGCAGAGACAUCCCUCAUCCUGCCCCUAAGAAGCAGUGAGGCUGCAAGCACUACAGCAAUACAAAUUCCUAGUUACAAAUUCUGUGAGCACAGUUCAGUUACCCCAAGAGAGAUUUGGCUCUGGUCUCCUUUCUUGGCUCCUCAUCCUGAGGGACCCAGCUACCAUGGUUUCAAAAGCAGGGUUCAGGGCUCAGCUGGCAUCCCUGCUGCUGGGUAGAAAGACAUUGUGCUGUGUAUCACUUAUUUUUUGUACUUUUUUUGUUCUGUUUUGUUUCUGUUUGCUCUAAUUCCAACCCCUUUUCUAUUGAGCUGUCUUUAUCCCCACCCAUGAGUUUUACUUUUGUUUUUGCCUAAUUCUCUCCCUGUCCCCCCGAGUCCCUGCAUGGUACAGAACUGCCUGCCAGGUUAAACCACAGCAGAAAUGUACCAGACAGAAAGGUAAACAAAGCUUGCAGAACCAGUGAAAAUAAGAAGAUGAUGAAUUGUGAUAACUACUUUAAACUCAACACCUCCUAAUGUAGAAUAAGGCAUACGAUAUUUAAUGCUAUGCACUUCAGUUUUUACUGAUUUAGAAUAGCAAUAGAAAAAAGAGCUGAACACAGGAGAACAUCUUUGAGGCACUGGGCACUGAUAUACUACAGAACAGAGCUAAGGUUGAAAAAUAAAUCCGACCCUUAAUAAAACAGGAAUGUUUUCCAAGCUUUCUUUUCAGCUAUAUUCUUCAUAUUUUUUUUCUGAAAUUUAAUCUUAAGUGGUGGUUUAAAAAUGGACAUUUGCAGUGAAAAUAUAAUUUAAUAGUGAAGUACCAGUAACAGUAGUUCACCAGUGACUAUGAAGACAGCUGUGAAAACUUAAUAAAGCCGUAACUCCUCAUAUAUAUUGCUAUUUUAGCACCAUGUGGACUCAAAUGUUUAAUUAAAAUAAUUGCCUAUAUGGUUCUGGAUCGUCUUUUUAUUAUGAAAUGGAGACUUCAUGUGGCCUUCUACCUACUUCUUACUUUAAUUAAGCUGAGCUGUAAAUCUUUUUUUUUUUUUUUUUCCCCCACUGUUAGUUCAAUUUAAGCUCUUCUCUUUCCUCCCUUCCAGAGUAAUUAUCUCCAGUCAGGGCAUCCAUUUUUCAACAGUCUAUUCCUAACUAUGCAGAGAGAGUCCCAUAUAUGUGACUUAGAUUGUUGUACAAGCUAAAUCCUGGAAGAAAGUAUGUUUUCCAAUCUAGUCCUCCCCACAGACCAAAUAGAAUAUGUAUAGAAUAUGUAUUGACUCCUACUUCAAAUGAAAACUGUUCUGUGCUGUGACUACCGUUUACAACAUCAUAUCUUCAAGAUAUAAUGACAAACAAUCCCUUAUGUUGAUACUUAUUUGAUUAUUGCUAUUAAAAUUCAGUGUAUUUGAAUUUGAAUUCAUGUCAGUUCUACUCAUGUCUUGCCCAAGGAUGCUGUGGAUGCCCCAUCCCUGGAGGCAUUCAAGGCCAGGCUGGAUGUGGCUCUGGGCAGCCUGGUCUGCUGGUUGGUGACCCUGCACACAGCAGGGGGGUUGAAACUGGAUGAUCAUUGUGGUCCUUUUCAACCCAGGCCAUUCUAUGAUUCUGUGAUUCUGUGUCUUAUAUUUUAUGCUAGAUUUAGCAAUUGUGUAUUUCCUGUGCACGUUUAACUAAGGAUUGGUGUAGGAUUGCUGUUCGUCACACUUUUUCCGAUGUUCUUGAAGAAGUCUGUCUCGACGGCAUGGAAUAAAUAACCUAUUAUCCCUCAAAAA